GACGAACGCUGGCGGCGUGCUUAACACAUGCAAGUCGAACGAGCGUAGCAAUACGUCAGUGGCAGACGGGUGAGUAACACGUGGGAACGUACCUUUUGGUUCGGAACAACUGAGGGAAACUUCAGCUAAUACCGGAUAAGCCCUUACGGGGAAAGAUUUAUCGCCGAAAGAUCGGCCCGCGUCUGAUUAGCUAGUUGGUGGGGUAAGAGCCCACCAAGGCGACGAUCAGUAGCUGGUCUGAGAGGAUGAUCAGCCACAUUGGGACUGAGACACGGCCCAAACUCCUACGGGAGGCAGCAGUGGGGAAUAUUGGACAAUGGGCGAAAGCCUGAUCCAGCCAUGCCGCGUGAGUGAUGAAGGCCCUAGGGUUGUAAAGCUCUUUUAACGGGGAAGAUAAUGACGGUACCCGUAGAAUAAGCCCCGGCUAACUUCGUGCCAGCAGCCGCGGUAAGAC
rnacentral:rRNA from 1 species